AACGAACGCUGGCGGCAUGCCUAACACAUGCAAGUCGAACGAGACCUUCGGGUCUAGUGGCGCACGGGUGCGUAACGCGUGGGAACCUGCCCUUAGGUUCGGAAUAACUCCCCGAAAGGGGUGCUAAUACCGGAUAAUGUCUUCGGACCAAAGAUUUAUCGCCUUUGGGUGGGCCCGCGUUGGAUUAGCUAGUUGGUAGGGUAAAAGCCUACCAAGGCGACGAUCCAUAGCUGGUUUGAGAGGAUGAUCAGCCACACUGGGACUGAGACACGGCCCAGACUCCUACGGGAGGCAGCAGUGGGGAAUAUUGGACAGUGGGCGAAAGCCUGAUCCAGCAAUGCCGCGUGAGUGAUGAAGGCCUUAGGGUUGUAAAGCUCUUUUACCCGGGAUGAUAAUGACAGUACCGGGAGAAUAAGCUCCGGCUAACUCCGUG
rnacentral:rRNA from 1 species